UGAGAUCCCAGGUUAUGUAUUCUUUUGGAGGGGGGGUGAAGAAGAUGAAUAAAAGUUCAUCAGACCUGAAGAGACAACCUAGACUAGCAGUGAGCCGUGGUGGAAAGACGCCAGAGGUCAGAUGUUGGGAAGGGCCUCAAAGUGCUCAGCAGAGUUUGGGAGAGAAGCUCAGACCUCCCCUUAUUGGACACCAAAUGUAAGGUCAGACCGAGGCACGAUUGAGACCACCGAGCAAGGUCCGUUAUGGUUUCUAUGUGAAGGGCCCCCCGAACAUGCAGGCAUUGAGGGCUCGCUCCCCAGUGCAGCCAUCUUCAGCAGUGGGCCCCAGGGAGGUGACUGGAUCAUGAGGGGCUGACCUCGCCAGUGGACUGAUCCACAGAAGAGGUUGUUUUUUUUCAGAUAAGAGGAAGAAAUGAAAUAAGCAAGCCCAGUUGAUUCUUCCCAAAUUUACCCAUCUGAUAAGCAGCCCCAUCAAUAUGCCAGGGGUGAAGUAAAUAGAGAGAUCUGGGGGUGCUACCAGGGGAACCCCCAGCUCCCAGGAGUGAAGAUGCUGCUGCUUGCUUAAAGAGGAUUCACAUGACUCUGAUGAAGUGGGCAGCCCGCAGUGAAGACCAGCAGGCAGGAGGGACCCUGGGACUGGCUGCUUCUCCUGCCUCUUUGCUGUGAAAGGACACUUACUGGGAGGGAUGCAGGUGGCCAGCUAAGCACCUCUGCAGUGCUGAGGCUCCACAUGGGAGAUAGGAAUGCUAAGAAUAUUAGCCUGGGCUGUCGGCAAUUACUGGGCUGGGAACUAACUGCCACUGCAGCUUGGAUAUUAAAGAAAUAAUGUCUCCUUUUGUUCUUCAAGAUGGCAAAAUACGGUUUAGGUUUAUAGAUGUGUACCUUGGAAUCACUUUACUCACUCACUCUUUGGAUUACACACCUUUUUUGUGUUUUUGAUACAAGUGCUAAGUUGCAAAUUGUCCAGGUUGGCAUUGAACAUGGGAUAUUCCUGCCCCAGCCUCCUGAGUAUUCCUGGGAUUCCAGGUCUGCACCACCACAACAGGCUUAGCAUAUGAAGUGUUGUACUCUUUUUUUUAAAGGUUCUUGCCACUUUCUUUUUUUACAAUUAAAUUUAUUGGUACAUUUUAGGUAUAUAUAGUGAUCACAUCCAUCAUAGGGAAUUUGUGCCUGUACUAGUAUAUCUUGAUUCUUCAUUUUCUCCACUCCCUUCCCUGAAGCCACCUUCACUUCCUUAUUUACAAAAGCUUUGUUCCCAUUAUUUCCAUCUAUUUUCUUUUCCCUUCCUUCCUUUCCCCCUCACCCCUCCCUUUUUCCCCUUCCCAUUUGAACAUUUUCUUCCUAUUUCACAAUAUCUAUUUUAUAUUUUGGUCCUUAUUUACACUUUCAGUUUCUCACACCAGAGAAACAAUGUGAUAUUUAAACACAUGGGUCCGAUUUAUUUCACUUAAGAGUAUGGUCUCAAGGUGCAUCCAUUUAGGUAUAAAUGUCUAAAGUUUACCUUUCUUUAUGGCUGAAUAGUACUGCAUUGUAUAAUGGGGAAAAAAUAGGAAUCAAGAUACAUCAUGUACAGGUACAAACACCCA
ensembl:lncRNA